GUGAUUGGCCGCUGCACAGGGCAGCGAGGGAGACUUGAGAGGUGCAAUCAGCACAUCGGUAGACUGGUGCGGUCUCUCUUCAUCCCCCACGUAGUUGCUGUUGGGAGAGAGAAGGAGAUGGCGGCAGCGAGUCCAUCUAUCGAACAAGGCCAGUUUUGCUGCUCGGUGUGUCUGGACGUGCUGAGGGACCCGGCCACGAUCCCGUGCGGACACAGCUACUGCCUGGGCUGCAUCGACGCCCACUGGAACAGGGUCAAGCCGAGCGACCAGUACAGCUGCCCCCAGUGCAGGCGGGUGUUUCAGCCGAGGCCCCUGCUCAGCAGGAACACGGUCCUGGCCGAAGCGCUGGACCAGUUUCAGACGAGCAGACGUCCCGCUGCGGCCACAGCGCGCGAAGCGAAAUGCGGCGCGUGCGCGGAGCCCAAGAACCGAGCGGUGAAGUUCUGCCGCGCGUGCUCGCGGUCGUACUGUGUCGCUCACCUGCGGGUCCACAACAAGCGCUUCCGCGGGAAGGCCCACGCACUGGUCCGGGUCUCGGACCCGCCCACAGAGAUGCCGCGUCCGCGGGGCCGCGACGCAGAUGGGGGGUCGACGAAACAGAUGGGUACAAUGUUUAACCUCCUUGAGCAGUACAGACUGGAGUCCUACUACGAUCCGUUUCUUCAACUGGGUGUAAAAGAUUUAAGAGAUCUCCUGGAUGGUGUAACAGAUGAAGAUCUAAUAAACUUGGGUUUAAGUCGAGUGGAAAAGAAUCGUUUUUCGGCAAUGAAAAACUUCAUCGGAAGUCUCGGUGCUCCGGGGUGCCAAGUUCCAACUGUGGCAACUGUGCAAAAAUCAAUGAAGGCAUUCGCUCUGCAGUACACGUACCCCAAAUGUCCUCAACCCAAACACAUUAGAGAUAUGGAUCCAGCGCAAAAUACAGUCGAAGAUCUGAUGUUGAGGAUCUGCCACCUUGAAAAUGUUAGCAAAACCACAGGAGUCUGUCUCUACACGAUCGACGGGAUGCCCUUGACAGAUGAUCCUUUCUUCAACACGUGGUCUUUGAAAGACCGGCACAUUCAAAGUGGAGCCGUGAUCUAUUCGAUAUUCACACCAAAGGAAAACCUGAGACAAGCUCCUCAAAUGCCACAGCACAAGUUUGUUGAAACCUCUGGAGAGGAUGUUGUUCGAUGCCACAUCAUGCUCAAGGGAGACUACGACGUGAUGGUGAACUUAAACAGUGACACCAUAACCAGUCUCAGACUCAAGUUGGCAAAUGCAAGCGGAAUCCCAGCACAUGUCCUUCAUUACAAAGGUCAACACCGUGGAAAUGACGCACUGCAAAGCUAUGGAAUCUGUGAGAGGUCAACAGUUGCCUUCUCUUUAUACACCGUUUAUGAUGAGACUGCAUUCCAUAGGGAUUUCUUCAUUGAUGAUGUUGUGCCUUCAGUCCAGCAAACCCAGAAAGGAAUCAGUGUGUUCCUGUCCUCCCUUUAUGUUGUUAAAGACCUUCAUUCCACACAAAUGCAAAAAAAAUUGAUGACCUGCAUACGAAAACUGACCGGAUGUAACCCUCUGGCCCAAAGUUUGCAUCAGUUACUCUGCAGGAAUGAAAAGAUGACAAGGAACCAGAAGGUUUCAGUUGUUGAAGGCUUAUACAUGCUCUUCAGAGAACUUUUGCCCCAGCCUGGCUCAGAACGAGGCGAGAAGGUCAUCAAGGACACACAUGUCUUUGAGAAUUCAUUGUACUGCUGGGCAUAUCUCAUUUCAAAAGCUACGAAAUUGGCAACGAACUUUGAGAACUACGCAUCAGUUACACUCACAUCUGAAGACGACAGCCGAUUCUGUGAACCAGUUAGAGUGCCUGGAGUGCCGGGGGCCUUCGAACGGGCACACGUUCUCCAGAAAAUCAAAGAUGGGAAGAAAAUUCCAAACUGCACCGAAGAGGUUCUGCGAGAAACGUCAUUACAGAGAGCCACGGACAUUGAGAGAAUCUUACUCAGCUUGCCUUCGUACAUUAGGACAUAUCCUCUCUGGAUUCCUAAUGACAAGAUGAUUGGUCAGAACUUUCAGGUCAAUAUUCAGAGGACUUUUGGGAAAAUGGUCGAAGGAUUGAAAUCUCACCCUCGUCUCAAUGUGACCCCACCUCUACGUCUGAAGGAACUAGGACAGGCCGAUGUCUGCCUUGUUCUGCUGAGUGAAGAUAACCUCGGCGUUUCUCUGUACAAAGACAAAGGAUCUGCCGAUACGAUCAGGGUGCACAAUUGUCUGGAUGGCAAAGAAACCGUUGUGGAUGUGAAUGUACUUGCAGCCCAGACUGGCGACCACAGAGAUGAUGGAGCAUUUGUCACAACCAGGACUCCAAAGGAAGCCAUACUGGUCCUGAUAGAUACAAGCUCAUCCAUGGAAGAAGACUGCUAUGGAAACACAGGAAUAAAGAAAAUCAACGCCGUGAAGGAGCUCUUCGAUAACUUUGCGUCAAGAAGCAUGGCUUAUGAUUUCUAUCAUGUCAUUGGCCUAGUGAAGUUUGACUCAAUGGUGAAAACUCUUCACACAUUUACUGAAAAUCUGGAAAAGUUCAAGGAGCACAUCCGCAACCUUGAGCCACAGGGAUGUACUCUGCUGUACGAUGCCUUACGACGUGGGUUGUCUGAGUUGGAAGGGGUCAAGACCAAGUUCCCAGAUUGUAGACUUCGUAUCAUGUGCCUUACUGAUGGAAAUGACUCUGGAUCUUCGAUCGAGCCAGUUGCCAUUACAGCCAAACUGCUACAAUCUGACAUCAUUGUGGAUUCAAUCCUUCUUGGAAAUGUGGACAACAACAUGUUGCAUGGAAUCAGCAAUGCAACAGGCGGUUGCUGUUUCAAACCACAGACGACCAAAGAGGGUUUGAAGCUCUUUGAGAUCGAGACAGUUCUGUCUUUGGAGCAGAGGAAACCCAAGAAAAAACUUGACGCAUCGUCUGUCAGUGAGCGUACUUUAACAAGUAUCUUUGCAACUCAUGGAUACGAUGAGUGUCCAGAUACAUCCUUGCCAAGCCAGUUAAACAACAAAGUGACAGGGACGGAGAGUGCUCUUAAAAAGAGGCUUCGGGAGUCGAAGGAUGGCCGUUUCAUGGAGAAGGACAAACGUAUCCUGGAGGAGCUGAGGAGCCUGCAUUGUGACCCCCAUCCCUUCUUCAGAGUCUUUACGUCAGAGUCAGACUUCACAUUCUGGAGGAUUCUCAUGCAGGGCCCUCCUGACACUCCGUAUGAGAAAGGAGUGUUUGAGCUGUACUGCCAGUUUGGUCCCGACUACCCAGUGAAGCCUCCGCUUGUUCGCCUUGUCACACGAAUAUACCACUGCAACAUCAACAGCGUCGGCCGCAUCUGCCACAGCAUUUUUGACCGCAGCUACAAUGCCAACAUCACCAUGAGAGACGUCUUCGAUGCAGACGUUGGACAUUGGUGGAUCCAGUGCCACAGUUCAUACCCCAACAUCUUAUCUGUCCACUCACAAAUAAGAUGUUUGUUGAUCCUGUGAAAACGGCGUACGGCACCGUGUAUGAACGCAAAGCCAUCGAGGAACACCUCAAACGACACCAGUAUGACCCGAUGGCUGGCCCAGGACAUGACCUCGAUCUGAGUCUCACAAAAUCAGACUGGGACAUGAAGAAAAUGGUGAUGGAUCAUCGAUCUCGUCAAAUUCAGUGAAUCUGUGGAUCACGAGGCUUAUUUGAAUUGUGUUUAACGUAUAUAACCCUAAACAAGUUAUAGAAGCCUUAGUAAGUUUGCACUAAAUAAUCUCUGAAAAAUUUUAUUUGAUAUAAAGCUUGUUUGAGUGUCUUUUCUUUUCCACAUAUUGAAUUUAUGGUUAAUCACAUAAUUAACAUAACACAAGUGGAUGAAUUAGGGACCUAGUAGGUCAAUAAAACCUUUUGAAACCUUGCUUCAAAAGGUUUUAUUGAUUAUAAAUCUGAAUCUUCAGUUAUUGUGACCAGUCUUUACAUGUUCAUGUAAAAAAAAAUGUAUCGGUCAAAUUUUUUUCCAGAUUGUCAGUUAUACCUUUUCAUUACUGGAGAUGUUAACUACUUUUAAAAGUUUUGAAUAAAAAUUCCAAGUUCUCA